GAUGAAGAACGUAGCGAAAUGCGAUAAGUAAUGUGAAUUGCAGAAUCCAGUGUAUCAUCGAAUCUUUGAACGCACAUUGCGCCCGCCAGCAUUCUGGCGGGCAUGCCUGUUCGAGCGUCAUUUCAACCCUCGACCUCCCUUUGGGGAAGUCGGCGUUGGGGACCGGCAGCACACCGCCGGCCCUGAAAUGGAGUGGCGGCCCGUCCGCGGCGACCUCUGCGUAGUAAACCAACUCGCACCGGAACCCCGACGUGGCCACGCCGUAAAACACCCAACUUCUGAACGUUGACCUCGAAUCAGGUAGGACUACCCGCUGAACUUAAGCAUAUCAAUAAGCGGAGGA
rnacentral:misc_RNA from 1 species